UACGACGGCUGUUCUCGACAGAUCUAACUUUAGCAAAACCCGAGCCCUAAUGUGGUGGCAGCUACUGAUUAUAUAAGGGUUAGGAGCGGACUCCCUCCCUGGACGCGCCCUAAUGGGCCCAACAAAGAUACACGGCCUAAAGGCCCAUUUAUGGUGUCGCAGCACCGAGACAGAUUACGGACGCCGGUUUGGUCCUCCACCUUGAUCCGAACGUCCUUGCUGGCCUUCUACGCCUCCAAGUCCUUCACCAUGUCCUUUGCUGGUCCUUUCCUUCAUUCCUAAGUACAAUUAAUUCAUUAGGUAGCACACUAUUCUCAAAUGUACAAGAAUAAGUACAUAGGAACGAGCUCCUGCAAAUUCAAUUGUCUUGCGCGUGCGCGAGUAAUCGGACCUUGAACAUCAACUAGGGGAGUGUUGUUUGUAUCCAUGGUAGUGAUGUCCUCAUCACCCCUGCUAUACACAUGAUUUAAUCUUGGGUUACAUCACAUGUACAUGUACCUUUUAGAUCGCUUGCAAAAAGUUGUUUAACUAUCCACGGUAAAGUAUUGUGCUUGCUUCUUACUUCCUUGCAUUUUGGUAUAUAUCAGAGAGCUGAUUUUGGUGGGUGAAGUUAUGGAGGAGAUUGGGUUGGGGCCAAAAGGCGGUCUCCUGUACUAUGGCAUGGAGUCUCCUGUUAUUUUUGGAGUAUCUUUGUUCGCUCUAUAGGCUACCAAAUUUAAGAAAUUGAUUAGUUCUGAACUAAUGCACUUCGACCGGUGCAUUUUUACACUUAUUGCUUACUAAUGGGUUCGAGCUGCAAAGCCUGACUGUUAGGAACUGAAAGUGGAUUUGCUUUACCUUUUUGCACUUGUUUGUUCUGCAAGACUGAUAUUUUGAGUUCCAACUUUUAUCGCACACUAUUUUAAAGGACACCAUUCAUUAUUUUUACCAUUAGAAUAAAAUCCCUAUAAAACGUGGCCAUGCAAUCACUGGUUGUAAACUGAUGGGGCAGAAUGUUGUAGGAUGGAUUGGGUCAAGAACUAAUAAAGCUUACUUAUGACAAUGUAGUAAUUCAUGAAGUUAUUGUUCCUUAUGUUCAUGGAGUUUGUUCUGCAAGUUUUUUCCCCAUCUAUGGUUGAGCAGAGGUUCCUGGAGACCAUGAAGGCCAUACAGGGGGCACUGAUAGUGUCCUCAAGCAUUCAGAUCAUUCUGGGCUACAGCCAGCUGUGGGGUAUUUUCUCCAGGUCGCUUUCCUUCACACUUCGUAGUCCAAGCAUUCUAGCUCUAUUGCUCUUUCCUUCCAAGAGCAAUACCAAUCUACUACCAAGUAGUUCCGUUUCAAUUUUGACUUUUGACAGUUCCUAGGCUAUACUGAAUACUGGUUGGUUCCAUAACGCAUGUCAGAUUCUUCAGCCCAGUGGGGAUGACUCCAGUUGUUGCGCUGCUCGCAUUUGGCCUCUUCGAAAGAGGUUUCCCUGUGGUACCGCUCGCUUUGUCCCAAUCCCCAUUUUGUGUUCCCAACAUGGGUAUGCUGAUGAGGAAUGGCUUGCUCAUCCGAUUGAUGUCUAAUAAUUGCAUCAGGUUGGGAGAUGCGUUGAGAUUGGCCUGCCAAUGCUGAUCCUCUUUGUCGUGCUGUCUCAGGUCUGACUGACAAAAAAACUCCAGAUUAUUCAGUUCUCUCUACGCACCAAAUUCAUGAUCUUGGCAGCGAGUUUAAGCGUACCUGAUCUGUGCAUUUCGGUUGUUUCGCAGUAUCUGAAGAACAAUCCGUCUUUUUUAUUGCUUAUGGCGUUGUGCAUUAUACAUGUCCACCAAUUAUAUACAAAUACCAUUUGAGGGUUACCUCUGGUGUGUUUAGGUAUUCCUCAGAUUCCUGACAUUUUUUUCUGUCUUUAAAUGUCAUAUCACUAUUAAAAAAUUGAUUUUUGUUGUCUAAAAUACCACAACUACUUUUCUAGGUGCGAGCUACAAUCAAAGUUAAGGCAUUAGUCAUCAUUUGCUUCACCUCUUCUGGACAGGCUGCAAGGUAUAUACUACAUAAAUGAAUAUUGUUUGUACAUACAUAUUGUGGGGGACCAUAAUUAGGGGUACCCCCAAGACUCCUAAUCUCAGCUGGUAACCCCCAUCAGCACAAAGCUGCAAAGGCCUGAUGGGCGCAAUUAAGGUCAAGGCUCAGUCCACUCAAGGGACACGAUCUCGCCUCGCCCGAGCCCAGCCUCGAGCAAAGGCAGCCGACCCCGGAGGAUUCACGUCUCGCCCGAGGGCCCCCUCAAGCAACGGACACACCUUCGGCUCGCCCGAGGCCCAGUCUUCGCAGAGAAGCAACCUUGGCCAAAUCACCACGCCAACCGACCGUAUCGCAGGAGCAUUUAAUGCAAGGAUCGCCUGACACCUUAUCCUGACGCGUGCUCUUCAGUCGAUAGAGCCGAAGUGAUCGCAGUCACUUUGCCGCUCCACUGACCGACCUGACAAGAAAACAGCGCUGCCUGCCCCGCUCCGACUGCCGUGCCACUCGCCAGAGUGAGGUCGACAACGGCUAAGUCCAGCCUCGGGCGACAUAGGAAGCUCCGCCUCGCCCGACCCCAGGGUUCGGCCCCCGUUUCGGCCUCGGAAGAUGGACUUCGCCUCGCCCGACCCCAGGGCUCGGACUCAACCACGACUUAGAAGACGACGAACUCCGCCUCGCCCGACCCCAGGGCUCGGACUCAGCCUCGGCUCCGGAAGACGAUGGACUCCGCCUCGCCCGACCCCAGGGCUCGGACACAACCUCAACCUCGGAUGAAUCGCCACCUCGCCCAAACUCGGGUCCGGACCGGCCACGUCGCCAGGGGGGCCAUCAUUACCCUGCCCCUAGCUAGCUCAGGCUACGGGGAACAAGACCGGCGUCCCAUCUGGCUCGCCCCAGUAAACAAGUAAUGAUGACACCCCGCACGCUCCAUGACGACGGCAGCUCCCAGCCCCUUACGUCAGCAAGGAGACGUCAGCAAGGAUCCGACAGCCCCGACAGCUGUACUUCCGCAGGGCUCCAGCGCUCCUCCGACGGCCACGACAUCACAUGAACAGGGUGCCAAAACCUCUCCGACUGCCACGACGGCAUGUACUUAGGGCUCUAGCUCCUCUCUCCUAGACACAUUAGCACACUGCUACACCCCCCAUUGUACACCUGGACCCUCUCUUUACGCCUAUAAAAGGAAGGUCCAGGGCUCUCGUACGAGAAGGUUGGCCGCGCGGGAGAACGGGCCGACGCAUAAGGCCCUCGCUCUCUCUCUCUCUCUCUCUCCCACGCGAACGCUUGUAACCCCCUACUGCAAGCGCAUCCAUCCACCCUAGGCACAGGACAACACGAAGGCCAUGGUUUCCCCUUACUGUUCUCCCCCUUUGUGUCCCGUCUCGCGCCGACCCAUCUGGGCUGGGACAUGCAGCGACAAUUUACUCGUCGGUCCAGGGACCCCCCGGGGUCGAAACGCCGACAAUUGGCGCACCAGGUAGGGGACUGUUGCGUGUUGACGAACAACUUCCCGUCAAGCUCCAGAUGGGUAGUCUCCAGCAACCUUUCCAACCCGGGACAAUGCUCCGUUUUGGGAGUCUUGAGUUCAUGUCCCUCGACGGCAGCUACAACAUGAUACUCCUUCCUCCGCCGCGCGACAGCGACAAUGGCGGCCGUCAGCCCGCCCGCCGGCGGCAGAAUCAAUGACGUCUUCCCCACAUGGCGGAAGAACAACAUCCGGGUUUGUCCCGUCACCUCCCCCACCGACGGAGGAGGAGGCGGGGCAACCAUGCCCAAGCAGGAGGCGGCACCUCAUCGGCUGUCGAGCAAGUCGACGACGCCGGCGCCCCAGCGGGGGACAUGUCGGGCUUUGACCUUGCGUCUGAGACGAAGACGAGCGUCGUUUCCCCGAAACACGCCAACCCCAAGCAUACGAACGACGCCAGCACGCUCGCGAAGGACUUGCUGGGCGACGCCCUCGUACCUGAGACAACGGUGCAGUCCGCCCCUGACGCGACUUCGUCACCGCCCGUCGACCAAGAGGUACCGACCGAUUCCCAUCUCGUGCCUUUUGGAUUCAGCUUCGACCCACCAAGCGACCUCGCUUCGGUGGAAGCCUUCAUAGAGGCAUGUACCAACCCUCCGGGGUACCAUAUGCGGUCGCCCUGGGACAGACUGACGGCCGUCUCGACCUACGGACCCUCGGGUUCCGAGGAAGAUGACGAGCCCGACUUUUGUUGGGAUUUUGUAACGCCCUGAAUUUAGGGGGUAGAUUUUUUUUCUUCUUUUCCCUCACCAAAUUCAGGCGUUACCCUUUCCUUUUCCCUUUUCUCCUCGCUAAACCUUGAUCUUUUCCAAAGUUAUAGCAGGAUUCGGAUUGAGAUCCCAUGUAAAGCAAAACCCUAAAAGUAUUUUAUUUUGCUUGAUGCACCAUGCCGAACCAUGCAUUCUUUUGAUUGUUUAAAAAUGUAAAUGCAUUCAUCUAGGAAAAUAGAUUUUUGAAAAAAGGAAAAUCCUUUCCUCUCUCCCCUUCCCCCCCUCCUUCCCCAUUUUUGGCCCAGCCGCCCCCCUCCCCCUCGUGCCCGGCCCAGCCGCGCCCCCUCCCCUUUCCCUCCCCCGCGCCGUGGGCCGCCCCGGCCGGCCCAGCCGCUCCCCCCUGCGCGCCCCGCUUUGGGCCCAAGCGGCCCAGCCGCGCCCCCUCCCCCCUCCCCCCAAAAAUUUCCCUCCCCGCGGGCCCCGCCCGUCAUUCUCUCUCCCUCUCCCCUGCCCUAACCGCCGCCGCCGCCGCCGCGCCGCCCUCCCUCGCCGCGGCGAGGCCCCCUCCCCUCUUCUCCCUCCCCCUUCCCCGCCCGCCCGGCAGCCCUCGCGCCGCCCGGCGAGCCGUCCCCGGCCGCCCCGCGCCCGCCCCAGCUCGGCCGCCCCCGCCCCGACCUCGAUCGCCCCCGCCUCGCCCCGUUCCUGGCCAUGGCGCCCCCGCCCCGGCUCCGGCCAUCCCCGGCCGCGCCCGCCUCGGCUCCGGCCAUGGCGCCGCCGCCCCGGCCCCGGCCGCCCUUGCCCCGUGCGCGCCGCCCGGCCCCAGCCGCGCCGCCCCACGCCGCCCGGCCCCGUCCCGGCCGCGCCCGGCCGUGCCACCCCGGCCCCGGCCGCCCUCGUCCCGGCCCCGGCCAUGCCCCGCUGUGGUCCGCGGCGUCCUCGCUCGCCCGUGCUCGCUCGCCCCGGCGUGCUUGCCCGCUCGCCCCGCCGUGUCCUGCUCGCGUCGUGACGGCCCCGACGCGGCCUUGAGCUCGGCUAGCGCGCGGCCCCGACGUGUGCACGGUUAGUUCGCGGCGCGUGCGUGCGGCCUUGCGCGCGUGCUCGCGUAGUGCGCAAUGCCUUGGCACGACUCGUCACGCCCUCGUCUACCCCCUCCAUAUUUUAUGCGCGCUAAUUACGAUUGUUCAUGUUAAUAAAAUAGGAAACUCAAUUUAGAAAUUGGUUACGUUAGUUAAUUUAUAUAGCUAAUCGUCUAUCUCAUUUAAUAUUAAUCUACUAAAAGUGGUCACGUUUCUAGUAGUGCAUGUAGCUAAUCCUUAUUAUUGGAGCUAAGUAGAACUAGAGCACGUAACGUCUAGUUAUUCGUCCACCCGUAAUGCGCCUCGAGCACAAACUUUAACCCCUGCGAGACCUUUCCCCGUUUCUUUCUAACCAUGGUAAAUGCAAUAUCGUAUACCAUAUUUUAUGCAUGUUUAAUCUAUUUGUUUUCUUGUAUGAUGUACUGUUUGUUUCCUAAUUUGAAUGGAUGGAUGUAUGUGUGUUUGCACUCGCAUAGAGAACGAUCCGGUUGAAGAGCCCGAAGAACUCGCAGGAGAAGCCCCUGAGCAGCAGUCGGUUGGUGGAGGCAAGUGUCCCUUGACCUAUCUCUGUCCUAUUCAUUCUUUAAUUCACCUCCCGCAUUACACAUUUAUGCCUAAGGAUUGACUAGCUUUUGUUAUCCAUGUCCUUGUUUACCUAUUUGGGUUGGAUUAUUAUUGGUUAGUUUUAUGCUAUUGCUUAACAUUAAUCAAUUAACAUGAUGAGAAUUACUUAUGAUACGCUGUUUUCCCCUCUUUUAUUAUGAUGUUAUAUUUGUGACCUUCAAGGGGGCUCGAGCGGUUUCUCGAGUACCUCUCCGUAAGGACCUGUUCGUUGGAUGACCGCCCGGGAAAAACAGUGCAACCAUGAGGGUGGAGUGGGAUGCCCUUAGCUGAGUAAUUAGAGGAACCGGGGUGUAGUUCGCUUAGCCGUCGUGCCGUCAAUGGGGCUCGGUGUAUGCGGCUCGCUCUGCCAAGGUUGAUUUGUCCCUUGGGGUGGAGUGCGGUACAUUUAGGAAACCUAACGGGCGGCUAUAGCCUCGGGGAAUCUUUGUAAAGGCUACGUAGUGAUGCCCUGCUGGACCACCUAGGUAGUGGUCAAUGGGGAGUAGCUCUCUCCGGGCAGAAAGGGAAUCACGGCUUGUGGGUAAAGUGCACAACCUCUGCAGAGUGUUAUGAAAACUGAUAUAUCAGCCGUGCUCGCGGUUAUGAGCGGCCAAGGGAGCUCCAGUGAUUAGUGGUACUUGAUCAGAGACAUUUUGGUUUACAGGUGGCAAUGAGAUUGAUGGUUCUGGCUAUGACUAUGGUGCUGGUAAGCGGUAUUCUUUCCGUUUGGAAAGGGUACAUCGGGCUAAUAACUUGGGUUAAUGUUAAAACCUGGCUUUCUACUAGUAAAUAAUAAUCUGACCAACUAAAAGCAACUGCUUGACUUACCCCCACAUAAAGCUAGUCCACUACAGCCAAACAUGAUACUUGCUGAGUAUGUUGAUGUGUACUCACCCUUUCUCUACACACCAAACCCCUCCUCAGGUUGUCCGCAUUGCAACCAUUGCUCAGGAGAAGAUGAAGCCGUGGAAGGAGACUUCCAGGAAUUCCAAGACUACGACGAGUUCUAGGUGUGGGUUAGCGGCAACCCCCAGUCGGCUACCUGUGAAGGCCACAGUUAUCUACGUUUCAUUUUCGCACUUUGAUUAUUGUAAAGACUAUGUGGAUGUCUCAGACAUAUGAUGUAAUCGACUAUUAUUUCCCUUUUUAAUACUAUUUGAGCACUAUGUGAUGAUGUCCACGUUAUGUAACUGCUGUGUACGUGAAUUGCUGAUCCUGGCACGUACAUGGUUCACAUUCGGUUUGCCUUCUAAAACCGGGUGUGACAUAGGUGGUAUCAAAGCCGUGCUGACUGUAGGACCGCUAACCUAGAGUAGAAUGGUCGUUCUAAGGACUAUAGACCUCUGUCCCUGCCUUGACUUUGAUAUCCCUUCAAAAGUUGGUCAUAUUGACCAAACUAUGUUCUACUAUAUAUUAUACCUUGCUGAAAUUUGUGUUUUAUUCUAAUCCUUCAUUUAUUCAUGAUUCAUUACUUGCUGGUCAUACUAAUUCUGUUCUCACUCUUUUGCUUGCGGUGUCUUUUGUAGAUGGCUCGUCUUAGACACACUGCACGGAAGUCCGUCAUCCCCUUCUUACCCUCCCGCCUUGCUGAGCGUCCGCUUCGCCGUCCCGUGGCCGGACAGUCCAGCCAUUUGGAGAGGCUGCACCACCGCCUGCAUGAGGAGCAGGAACGUCGACGACAGGAGCAGCAAGGCUCUUCUUUCUCGCUCCAGCAGGAGAUAGAGUCUGUGAGGAGCUGCUCCCCUGUGCUUCCCCUGGAGGCGCCCCCUGCACCACCACUGGGCGCCCCAGCCUCUGGAGUAGCUGCUGGAGGAGACCCAGACGACGGAGGUGGCGACGACAGCUCGAGCCACGACACCGACUUCCCUGCUGACCAGGAGCCGGAAGGAUGGGUUGCUCGACCCAUCACUCGCGACGCUGCUCGCGGGUGUCACUUCCACGAUGCGCUCGACACCCUGCUACGUCAAGCACUUGACCGGCGUACUUGGUCCAUCGAGUAUCGCUGUGUGGUCUACCAGCAUAGUCGCGGGGUCUACCCGGACCGCUGGGAGGCGACCUACUUGGUGCGCCGUCCGGAGAACAGUCUCUGGGGUGCUGAGGUCUGCUCGGAGCACUAUUCCAUCUCUGAGCGGGACUCAGCUGAGGCGGCCAUGCAAGAUGCUGCACGGCGUGCGCUUUCGCACUACUGCUCAGUGCUCGGUGGGGUAGCUGAUGGUCUCAACCUGAAGUACUACCCCCGCCGUCCAUCUGGCAGCACAGGAGGCGUGAUUGUCUCACCUGUUGGUGAGGACAAUCCUAGGUUGAGCAGCAUAGUCAACCUAGCCGCCAUGCUAAACACAGAGCUGGACCAUGCAUUAGACGAGCUGAGUAGGGCUCGUGCUGAGAUCGCCCUGCUGCGGGCUGAGCGCGCGGAGCAUCGUCACCUGGAUGAUGGUUCCCCCGCUCCCGUCGGGACUCAGCACCCGUACCGCUCACCUCGGCGUGGACACCAGUCUUAUGGCAAUCCCGACUGCAAGACCAAGAUAAAUUUAGAGCCAUAGAUCGUCAGAGUCGGAUCUUGUAAUUAAUACGAAAUAUAUACAUAGAAGCUAUAGUCUUAGCGUUAGUCUCGCUCUUAGUUAGUCUUAGUUAGACAGGGUAGUUUGCUAUAUCCUGUGCAUUUAUGUUUGUCAUGAUGAACUAUGUUUGAUUUGGAUCUUUGUAAUGACUGUCACCAGGAUGUGGGUAUCCCCUGCAUUUUGGUUUACCUGUUAUAUGUUAAUGUAGUUAGUUAUUUAGUUGGGAAGCCUUUUAUUCCACUUUCCUCUUUAUCUGAGAAGCUGUGUUGGUCUGUGUUGGAGAUCAGUGAAGAUGCUCAUCUGUUCAGUGUUAUGGAGAAUUCUAUACUCUUUUCUCAUGCUGCAAGAUUUGCAAGAUCAGUUCUGAUGUGUGGUUGCGUUCUGCAGAUGUCAGAAAACAGGCGCAGAGGAGGAAGGCGUGCUCAGCAGGAGCAGGCAGCUCAGCACGAUGAGGUGCCCCAGCAGCAGCACCUGCCGCCCCCGCCCCCGCCCCCGAUGUCCAUCGAGCAGAUGUUCCUAAUGCAGACUCAGGCAGUUCAAGCUAUUGGUCAGACUCUGGCCGCCAUUCAUUAGCAGCAGCAACAACAGCCACCACCUCAACCUCAGAUGCCUCAGAUGCCCAGAGACAAGCGUGCUGAAUUCAUGAGAGGUCAUCCCCCAACAUUUGCUCACUCUUUUGACCCCAUGGAUGCGGAAGACUGGCUGCGCACUGUGGAGCGGGAGUUGCAUACCGCUCAGUGUGAUGACAGGGAGAAAGUCCUGUAUGGUCCCCGUCUGUUGAGAGGAGCAGCUCAGUCAUGGUGGGAGUCUUAUCUCGCCACCCAUGCCCACCCCGACACCAUCACCUAGGAAGAGUUCAGAGGUAGCUUUCGUCAGUACCAUGUUCCUGCAGGUCUGAUGACAGUAAAGAAGGAGGAGUUCUUGGCCCUCAAGCAAGGGUCAUCGUCUGUUAGCGAGUACCGGGAUAGGUUUCUGCAGUUGUCUCGCUAUGCACCUGAAGAUGUCAACACCGACGCCAAGAGACAAUACCGUUUCCUAAGAGGCUUGGUUGACCCUCUUCAGUAUCAGCUGAUGAAUCAUACUUUCCCGACAUUUCAGCACUUGAUUGACAGAGCAAUCAUGACAGAGAGGAAGCGCAAAGAGAUGGAGGAUCGCAAGCGCAAGAUCAGUGGACCCCAACCUGGAAGCAGCAGCCGUCCUCGUUUCUCAGGCAAUCAACCUCAGCAGUUCAGGCAGAACCAGCGUCCACCUCAGCAGCAGCAGUUCCAAAGGCAGUAUCCUCAGCACCAGUAUCAGAAUCGUCAGAACAAUCAGUCAGGAGGAGGUCAGUUCCAGAGGCAGAAUCAGCAGGCACCUCGCCUUCCUACCCUAGCAAGCCAGCAGAACAGUCAGGCAGCACCAGCUCAAGUGGGAAACAGGGCAUGUUUCCACUGUGGAGAGCAAGGCCACUGGGUGAUGCAAUGUCCGAAGAAGGCAGCCCAGCAGCAGUCAGGCCCAAUGCCCCAACAAAGCAGAAUGUGUCUCAGCCUGGAGCAGGCAACCGCUCUCAGCCGCGCUAUAAUCAUGGGAGACUGAAUCACUUGGAGGCUGAAGCAGUUCAGGAGACCCCCGGCAUGAUAGUAGGUAUGUUCCCAGUCGACUCCCAUAUUGCAGAAGUGUUAUUUGAUACUGGAGCAACACAUUCUUUCAUUACUGCAUCAUGGGUAGAAGCACAUAAUCUUCCAAUAACUACCAUGUCAACCCCCAUUCAAAUUGACUCAGCCGGUGGUAGAAUUCGAGCCGAUAGCAUUUGUUUGAAUAUAAGUGUGGAAAUAAGGGGAAUAGCGUUUCCCGCCAACCUCAUAGUAAUGGGUACUCAGGGAAUAGAUGUCAUCCUAGGGAUGAAUUGGCUAGAUAAGUAUCAGGCAGUUAUCAGUUGUGAUAAGAGGACAAUCAAGUUGGUGUCCCCACUAGGAGAGGAAGUGGUGACCGAGUUAGUCCCGCCUGAGCCAAAGAAAGGAAGUUGUUAUCGGAUGGCUAUCGAUAGCAGUGAAGCAGACCCAAUUGAGAGUAUCAAGAUUGUGUCGAAGUUUCCAGAUGUGUUUCCCAAGGACUUACCGGGUAUGCCACCAGAGUAGAAAGUUGAAUUUGCCAUAGAGCUUCUUCCUGGAACCGCCCCCAUCUUUAAGAGAGCUUACAGAAUAUCCGGACCAGAAUUGGUUGAACUUAAGAAGCAGAUCGAUGAGCUGUCAGAGAAAGGUUACAUUCGGCCAAGCACCUCGCCUUGGGCCGCCCCUAUCCUAUUUGUGGAGAAGAAGGAUGGCACCAAAAGGAUGUGUAUCGAUUAUCGAGCUCUGAAUGAGGUCAUGAUCAAGAACAAGUAUCCUUUGCCCAGAAUAGAAGACCUGUUCGACCAGUUGAGAGGAGCCACUGUGUUCUCCAAGAUUGAUCUGAGGUCAGGUUAUCAUCAACUCAGGAUUCGACCUUCGGACAUUCCGAAGACGGCAUUCAUUACCAAGUAUGGUUUGUAUGAGUUCACUGUGAUGUCUUUUGGUUUGACCAAUGCACCAGCCUUCUUCAUGAACUUGAUGAACAGUGUAUUCAUGGACUAUCUUGAUAAGUUUGUGGUGGUAUUUAUUGAUGAUAUUCUGAUUUAUUCUCAAAGCAAAGAGGAGCAUGCGGAUCAUUUGAGGAUGGUAUUGCAGAGAUUGCGAGAGCACCAGUUGUAUGCAAAGUUGAGCAAGUGUGAGUUCUGGAUCAGUGAAGUCCUGUUCUUGGGUCACAUAAUCAACAAAGAAGGAUUGGCUGUGGAUCCGAAGAAAGUGGCAGACAUUCUGGACUGGAAAGCGCCAACAGAUGCUCGAGGGAUCAAGAGCUUCAUUGGAAUGGCCGGAUAUUACCGGCGAUUCAUUGAAGGGUUUUCGAAAAUUGCGAAACCAAUGACAGCGUUGCUAGGCAACAAGGUUGAGUUCAAGUGGACCCAGAAAUGUCAAGAGGCCUUUGAAGCGCUGAAAGAGAAGUUGACUACAACGCCUGUCCUAGUCUUGCCUGAUGUGCACAAGCCCUUCUCGGUGUAUUGUGAUGCUUGUUACACUGGUUUGGGAUGUGUGUUGAUGCAAGAGGGAAGAGUUGUGGCUUACUCGUCCCGACAGCUGAAGGUUCAUGAGAAGAAUUACCCAAUCCAUGACCUAGAGUUGGCAGCGGUGGUUCACGCAUUGAAGACAUGGACGCACUAUCUGUAUGGACAGAAAUGCGAUGUUUACACAGACCACAAGAGUCUGAAGUACAUAUUCACUCAGACAGAGCUGAAUAUGAGGCAGCGAAGAUGGUUAGAGUUGAUCAAAGACUAUGAGUUGGAGAUCCAUUACCAUCCAGGCAAAGCGAACAUAGUGGCAGAUGCUUUGAGCAGGAAGAGUCAGGUCAAUCUGAUGGUUGCUCGUCCGAUGCCUUAUGAGUUGGCCAAAGAGUUUGACAGGUUGAGUCUCGGAUUUCUAAAUAAUUCGCGAGGAGUCACAAUUGAGUUGGAACCUACCCUAGAGCGAGAAAUCAAAGAAGCGCAGAAGAAUGAUGAGAAGAUCAGUGAGAUCCGGCGACUGAUUCUAGAUGGUAGAGGCAAAGAUUUUCAGAAAGAUGCAGAAGGUGUGAUAUGGUUCAAAGACCGCCUGUGCGUUCCCAAUGUCCAGUCUAUUCGGGAGUUGAUUCUCAAGAAAGCUCAUGAGACAGCUUAUUCGAUUCACCCUGGUAGUGAGAAGAUGUAUCAGGAUCUGAAGAAGAAAUUCUGGUGGUACGGAAUGAAGAGGGAAAUCGUAGAGUAUGUGGCUAUGUGUGAUAGUUGUCGGCGGAUCAAGGCAGAGCACCAGAGACCAGCUGGAUUGUUGCAACCGUUGCAAAUUCUUCAGUGGAAAUGGGAUGAAAUUGGUAUGAAUUUUAUAGUCGGAUUGCCUCGCACUCGAGCCGGCUACGAUUCCAUUUGGGUAGUGGUGGACCGUUUGACCAAGUCAGCCCACUUCAUACCUGUCAAGACCAACUACAACAGUGCAGUAUUGGCAGAGCUGUACAUGUCUCGGAUCGUUUGUCUCCACGGUGUGCCAAAGAAGAUAGUGUCAGACAGAGGAACUCAAUUCACCUCUCAUUUCUGGCAGCAGUUGCAUGAAGCCUUGGGCACGCAUCUGAAUUUCAGUUCAGCCUAUCAUCCGCAGACAGAUGGUUAGACUGAAAGGACCAAUCAAAUCCUUGAAGACAUGUUAAGAGCCUGUGCGUUGCAAGAUCAGUCCGGAUGGGACAAGAAGUUGUCGUAUGCAGAGUUCUCCUAUAACAACAGUUACCAGGCCAGUUUGAAGAUGUCACCAUUCCAGGCGCUCUAUGGAAGGAGUUGUAGAACUCCAUUGCAAUGGGAUCAGCCUGGAGAAAAGCAAGUGUUCGGGCCAGACAUUUUGCUUGAAGCUGAGGAGAACAUCAAGAUGGUUCGAGAGAAUCUAAAGAUAGCGCAAUCAAGGCAGCGAAGCUAUGCAGAUACAAGAAGAAGAGAGCUGAAUUUCGAAGUUGGAGACUUCGUCUAUCUGAAAGUGUCACCGAUCAGAGGAGUCAGAAGAUUCGGAGUCAAAGGCAAGCUAGCACCCUGCUACAUCGGUCCGUAUCAAAUUCUCGCAAAGCGUGGAGAAGUGGCUUAUCAGCUCAGUUUGCCAGGAAAUUUGUCUGCUGUGCAUGAUGUCUUUCAUGUGUCUCAAUUGAAGAAGUGCUUGCGUGUGCCAGAAGAGCAAUUGCCAGUUGAAGGUCUUGAAGUCCAGGAGGACUUGACCUACGUUGAGAAGCCAACGCAAAUCCUUGAGACCGCAGACAGAGUCACCCGAAGGAAGACCAUCAGAAUGUGCAAAGUCAGAUGGAAUCAUCACUCUGAGGAAGAAGCAACCUGGGAGCGCGAAGAUGAUCUGAUGGCCAAAUACCCUGAGCUCUUUGCUAGCCAACCCUGAAUCUCGAGGGCGAGAUUCUUUUAAGGGGGAUAGGUUUGUAACGCCCUGAAUUUGGGGGGUAGAUUUUUUUCUUCUUUUCCCUCACCAAAUUCAGGCGUUACCCUUUCCUUUUCCCUUUUCUCCUCGCUAAACCUUGAUCUUUUCCAAAGUUAUAGCGGGAUUCGGCUUGAGAUCCCAUGUAAAGCAAAACCCUAAAAGUAUUUUAUUUUGCUUGAUGCACCAUGCUGAACCAUGCAUUCUUUUGAUUGUUUAAAAAUGUAAAUGCAUUCAUCUAGGAAAAUAGAUUUUUGAAAAAAGGAAAAUCUUUUCCUCUCUCCCCUUCCCCCCCUCCUUCCCCAUUUUUGGCCCAGCCGCCCCCUCCCCCUCGUGGCCAGCCCAGCCGGCCGGCCCAGCCGCGCCCCCCCUCCCCUUUCCCUCCCCCGCGCCGUUGGCCGCCCCGGCCAGCCCAGCCGCUCCCCCCGCGCGCGCCCCGCUUUGGGCCCAAGCGGCCCAGCCGCGCCCCCUCCCCCUCCCCCCAAAAAUUUCCCUCCCCGCGGGCCCCGCCCGUCAUUCUCUCCCCCUCUCUCCCUCUCCCCUGCCCUAACCGCCACCGCCGCCCUCUCCCUGCGCCGCUGCCGCCGCCGCGCCACCCUCCCUCGCCGCGGUAAGGCCCCCUCCCCUCUUCUCCCUCCCCUCCCUCCCCCUUCCCCACCCGCCCGGCCGCCCUCGCGCCGCCCGGCGAGCCAUCCCCGGCCGCCCCGCGCCCGCCCCGGCUCGGCCGCCCCCGCCCCAACCUCGAUCGCCCCCGCCUCGCCCCGUUCCCGGCCAUGGCGCCCCCGCCCCGGCUCCGGCCGUCCCCGGCCGCGCCCGCCUCGGCUCCGGCCAUGGCGCCGCCGCCCCGGCCCCGGCCGCCCUCGCCCCGUGCGCGCCGCCCGGCCCCGCCUCGGCCCCGGCCGCGCCGCCCCGCGCCGCCCGGCCCCGUCCCGGCCGCACCCGGCCGUGCCACCCCGGCCCCGGCCGUGCCCCGCUGUGGUCCGCGGCGUCCUCGCUCGUCCGUGCUCGCUCGCCCCGCCGUGUCCUGCUCGCGUCGUGACGGCCUCGACGCGGCCUCGAGCUCAGCCCGGCAUGCCUAUGGCGCGCGGCCCCGACGUGUGCACGGUUAGUUCGCGGCGCGUGUGUGCGGCCUUGCGCGCGUGCUCGCGUAGUGCGCAAUGCCUUGGCACGACUCGUCACGCCCUCGUCUACCCCCCCAUAUUUUAUGCGCGCUAAUUAUGAUUGUUCAUGUUAAUAAAAUAGGAAACUCAAUUUAGAAAUUGGUUACGUUAGUUAAUUUAUAUAGCUAAUCGUCUAUCUCAUUUAAUAUUAAUCUACUAAAGUGGUCACGUUUCUAGUAGUGCAUGUAGCUAAUCCUUAUUAUUGGAGCUAAGUAGAACUAGAGCACGUAACAUCUAGUUAUUCGUCCACCCGUAAUGCGCCUCGAGCACAAACUUUAACCCCUGUGAGACCUUUCCCCGUUUCUUUCUAACCAUGGUAAAUGCAAUAUCGUAUGCCAUAUUUUAUGCAUGUUUAAUCUAUUUGUUUUCUUGUAUGAUGUACUGUUUGUUUCCUAAUUUGAAUGGAUGGAUGUAUGUGUGUUUGCACCCGCAUAGAGAACGAUCCGGUUGAAGAGCCCGAUGAACUCGCACGAGAAGCCCCUGAGCAGCAGUCGGUUGGUGGAGGCAAGUGUCCCUUGACCUAUCUCUGUCCUAUUCAUUCUUUAAUUCACCUCCCUCAUUACACAUUUAUGCCUAAGGAUUGACUAGCUUUUGUUAUCCAUGUCGUUGUUUACCUAUUUGGGUUGGAUUAUUAUUGGUUAGCUUUAUUUUAUUGCUUAACAUUAAUCAAUUAACAUGAUGAGAAUUACUUAUGAUACGCUGUUUUCCCCUCUUUUAUUAUGAUGUUAUAUUUGUGACCUUCAAGGGGGCUCGAGCGGUUUCUCGAGUGCCUCUCCAUAAGGACCUGUUCGUUGGAUGACCGCCCGGGAAAAACAGUGCAACCAUGAGGGUGGAGUGAGUCGCCCUUAGCUGAGUAAUUAGAGGAACCGGGGUGUAGUUCGCUUAGCCGUCGUGCCGUCAAUGGGGCUCGGUGUAUGCGGCUCGCUCUGCCAAGGUUGAUUUGUCCCUUGGGGAGGAGUGCGGUACAUUUAGGAAACCUAACGGGCGGCUACAGCCUCGGGGAAUCUUUGUAAAGGCUUCGUAGUGAUGCCCAGCUGGACCACCUAGGUAGUGGUCAAUGGGGAGUAGCUCUCUCCGGGCAGAAAGGGAAUCACGGCUUGUGGGUAAAGUGCACAACUUCUGCAGAGUGUUAUGAAAACUGAUAUAUCAGCCGUGCUCGCGGUUAUGAGCGGCCAAGGGAGCUCCAGUGAUUAGUGGUACUUGAUCAGAGACAUUUUGGUUUACAGGUGGCAAUGAGAUUGAUGGUUCUAGCUAUGACUAUGGUGCUAGUAAGUGGUAUUCUUUCCGUUUGGAAAUGGCACAUCGGGCUAAUAAAUUGGGUUAAUGUUAAAACCUGGCUUUCUACUAGUAAAUAAUAAUCUGACCAACUAAAAGCAACUGCUUGACUUACCCCCACAUAAAGCUAGUCCACUACAGCCAAACAGGAUACUUGCUGAGUAUGUUGAUGUGUACUCACCCUUGCUCUACACACCAAACCCCCCCCCCUCAGGUUGUCCGCAUUGCAACCAUUGCUCAGGAGAAGAUGAAGCCGUGGAAGGAGACUUCCAGGAAUUCCAAGACUACGACGAGUUCUAGGUGUGGGUUAGCGGCAACCCCCAGUCGGCUGCCUGUGAAGGCCGCAGUUAUCUACGUUUCGUUUUCGCACUUUGAUUAUUGUAAAGACUAUGUGGAUGUCUCAGACAUAUGAUGUAAUCGACUAUUAUUUCCCUUUUUAAUACUAUUUGAGCACUGUGUGAUGAUGUCCACGUUAGGUAACUGCUGUGUACGUGAAUUGCUGAUCCUGGCACGUACAUGGUUCACAUUCGGUUUGCCUUCUAAAACCGGGUGUGACAGAUUUCUCCGGGCUCGGUAACCCCAGUGCCAUGCGGGACUUCAUGACCGCAUGCGACUACUGCCUCUCCGAUUGUUCCGAUGGUAGCCGCAGCUUCGGCGACGAGGAUUGCAGCCCAAGUCGUGAAUGUUUCCACGUCGAUCUAGGGGGUCCCGGCGAAGGCAACCAUCUUGGUAUCCUGGAAAACGGCGAUCCCCCUAGGCCUGCGCCUCGCGUUGACAUCCUUCGGGAGCUAGCUGUGGUCCCAGUCCCUGCGGGGGGUCAGGACGCACAGCUCGAGCAAAUCCGCGAGAUGCAGGCCUGGCUCGACGAGGAAGCAGGAACACUUGAGCAGUUCCGGUGGAACACCGGGCAGGAAUGGGCAGACCAAGCUCCGGCCCGAGAAGCGCGUCAUCUACCCCAGGGCAUCCAGCACCGCAUUACCGACGACGUCAGGGCAAGGCCGCCACUGGCUUCCAGUGGGGUCGGCCAGAACCUGGCUACAACAGCAAUACUACUCCGCGCGAUGCCGGAACCAUCAACCAUCGAAGGGCGGCGUAUCUAGGGAGAGCUCAAGAAUCUCCUGGAGGAUGCCGCGGUCCGACGGGCCGAAAGCUCUGCCUCCCGAAGGCAGGGGUACCCCUCGGAGCAUCGCGCCGCGACUUCCUGAUUCGUGCGGGAAGCCUCGAUCCACACCGGGCGCACGCGCAACACGGCGCCUGCGGCCCCGGGUCGCCUCGGCAACGAGCACCACCACCGCAACCGUCGAGCCCACCUCGACGAGAGGGUGCGCUGAGGCUACCACCCCAGGCGUGGGGGAAGCUAUGACAGCGGGGAGGAUCGGAGCCCCUCGCCCGAACCACCCGGUCCGCAGGCUUUCAGCCGAGCCAUACGACGGGCGCCGUUCCCGACCCAGUUCCGAACCCCGACUACCAUCACAAAGUACUCGAGGGAGACGAGGCCGGAACUAUGGCUCGCGGACUACCGAUUGGCCUGCCAGCUGGGUGGAACGGACGAUGACAACCUCAUCAUCCGCAACCUCCCCCUGUUCCUCUCCGACACCGCUCGAACUUGGCUGGAGCAUCUGCCUCCGGGGCAGAUCUCCAACUGGGACGACCUGGUCCAAGCCUUCGCCGGCAACUUCCAGGGCACGUACGUGCGCCCUGGGAACUCCUAGGAUUUACGAAGCUGCCGCCAGCAGCCGAGAGAGUCUCUCCGGGACUACAUCCAGCGAUUCUCGAAGUAGCGCACCGAGCUACCCAAUGUCACCAACUCGGACGUCAUCGGCGCGUUCCUCGCCAGCACCACCUGCCGCGACCUGGUGGGCAAGCUAGGUCGCAAGACCCCCACCAGGGCGAGCGAGCUGAUGGACAUCGCCACCAAGUUCGCCUCUGGCCAGGAGGCGGUUGAGGCCAUCUUCCGAAAGGACAAGCAGCCCCAGGGCCGCCAGCCGAAAGACGUCCCCGAGGCAUCCGCUCAGUGCGACACUAAGAAGAAGAACAAGAAGAAGUCGCAAGCGAAACGCGACGCCACCGAUGCGGACCUUGUCACCGCCGCUGAGUACAAGAACCCUCGGAAACCUCCUAGAGGUGCCAAUCUCUUCGAUAAGAUGCUCAAGGAGCCAUGCCCCUAUCAUCAAGGGCCCAUCAAGCACACCCUUGAGGAGUGUGUCAUGCUUCGGCGCCACUUUCACAAGGCCGGGCCACCUGCGGAAGGUGGCAGGGCCCACAACAACGACAAGAAGGAGGAUCACAAGGCAGAGGUGUUUCCCGAGGUCCACGACUGCUUCAUGAUCUACGGUGGGCAAGUGGCGAACGCCUCGGCUCGGCACCGCAAGCAAGAGCGUCGGGAGGUCUUCUCGGUAAAGGUGGCGGCGCCAGUCUACCUAGACUGGUCCGACAAGCCCAUCACCUUCGACCAGGGCGACCACCCCGACCGCGUGCCGAGCCCGGGGAAAUAUCCGCUCGUUGUCGACCUCGUCAUCAGCAACAUCAGGCUCACCAAGGUCCUCAUGGACGGAGGCAGCAGCCUCAACAUCAUCUACGCAGAGACCCUCGGGCUCCUGCAGAUCGAUCUGUCCUCGAUCCGGACAGGCGCAACACCUUUUCACGGGAUCAUCCCCGGGAGACGCGUCCAACCCCUCGGACAACUUGAUCUGCCCGUCUGCUUCAGGACUCCCUCCAACUUCCGAAGGGAAACCCUCACGUUCGAGGUGGUCGGGUUCCGAGGAACCUACCACGUAGUACUGGGGAGGCCAUGCUACGCCAAGUUCAUGGCCGUCCCCAACUACACCUACCUCAAGCUCAAAAUGCCAGGCCCCAACGGGGUCAUCACCGUCGGCCCCACGUACCGACACGCGUACGAAUGCGACGUGGAGUGCGUGGAGUACGCUGAGGCCCUCGCCGAAUCUGAGGCCCGAAUCGCCUACCUGGAGAGCCUCUCCAAGGAGGCACCAGAUGCGAAGCGCCACGCCGGCAACUUCGAGGCAGCAGAGACGGUUAAGUCCAUCCCUCUCGACCCCAGCAACGACGCCUCCAAGAAGAUACGGAUCGGCUCCGAGCUCGACCCCAAAUAGGAAGCAAUGCUCGUCGACUUUCUCCGCGCGAACGCUGAAGUCUUUGCGUGGAGUCCCUCGGACAUGCCUGGCAUACCGAGGGAUGUCGCCGAGCACUCGCUGGAUAUCCGAGCUGGAGCCCGACCCGUGAAGCAGCCUCUGCGCCGAUUCGACGAAGAAAAGCGCAGAGCCAUAGGCGAGGAGAUCCACAAGCUGAUGGCUGCAGGGUUCAUCAAAGAGGUAUUCCAUCCCGAAUGCCUUGCCAACCCUGUGCUUGUGAGAAAGAAAGGAGGGAAAUGGCGGAUGUGUGUAGACUACACUGGUCUAAACAAAGCAUGUCCGAAGGUUCCCUACCCUCUGCCUCGCAUUGAUCAAAUCGUGGAUUCCACUACUGGGUGUGAAACCCUGUCUUUCCUCGAUGCCUACUCAGGGUAUCACCAAAUCAGGAUGAAAGAGUCCGACCAGCUCGCGACUUCUUUCAUCACACCUUUUGGCAUGUACUGCUACGUUACUAUGCCAUUUGGUUUGAGGAAUGUGGGUGCGACAUACCAAAGGUGCAUGAACCACGUGUUCGGAGAGCACAUUGGUCGGACCGUCGAGGCUUACGUCGACGACAUCGUAGUCAAGACGAGGAAAGCCUCCGACCACCUCUCCGACCUUGAAACGACAUUCAAGUGUCUCAAGGCGAAAGGCGUAAAACUCAAUCCCGAGAAGUGCGUCUUCAGAGUCCCCCGAGGCAUGCUCUUGGGGUUCAUCGUCUCCGAGCGGGGCAUCGAGGCCAACCCGGAGAAAAUCGCGGCCGUCACCAACAUGGGGCCCAUCAAGGACUUGAAAGGCGUACAGAGGGUCAUGGGAUGCAUUGUGGCUCUGAGCCGCUUCAUCUCGCGCCUCGGCGAACGAGGCCUACCUCUGUACCGCCUCUUAAGAAAGAUCGAGUGCUUCACUUGGACCCCCGAGGCCGAGGAAGCCCUCGGAAACCUGAAGGCGCUCCUUACGAACGCACCCAUCCUGGUGCCUCCCGCUGCCGGAGAAGCCCUCUUAAUCUACGUCGCCGCUACCACUCAGGUGGUCAGUGCCACGAUCGUGGUCAAAAGACGAGAAGAAGGGCAUGCAUUGCCCGUCCAGAGGCCGGUCUACUUCAUCAGUGAGGUACUGUCCGAGACCAAGAUCCGCUACCCACAAAUUCAUAAGCUGCUGUACGCGGUGAUUCUGACGCGGCGGAAGUUGCGACACUACUUCGAGUCUCAUUCGGUGACUGUGGUAUCAUCCUUCCCCCUGGGGGAGAUCAUCCAGUGCCGAGAGGCCUUGGGUAGGAUUGCAAAGUGGGCGGUGGAAAUCAUGGGCGAGACAAUCUCGUUCGCCCCUCGGAAGGCCAUCAAGUCCCAAGUCUUGGCGGACUUUGUGGCUGAAUGGGUCGACACCCAGCUCCCGGCAGCUCCAGUCCAACCGGAACUCUGGACCAUGUUUUUCGAUGGGUCGCUGAUGAAAACAGGGGCAGGCGCGGGCCUGCUCUUCAUCUCACGCGUCGGGAAGCACCUCCGCUACGUGCUGCGCCUCUAUUUCCUGGCGUCCAACAAUGUGGCCGAGUAUGAGGCUCUGGUUAACGGGUUGCACAUCGCCAUCGAGCUAGGGGUUCGACGCCUCAACGCUCGCGGCGACUCGCAGCUUGUCAUCGACCAAGUCAUGAAGAACUCCCAUUGCCGUGACUCGAAGAUGGAAGCCUACUGUGACGAGGUUCGGCACCUGGAGGACAAGUUCUACGGGCUCGAGGUCAACCACGUCGCCCGGCGGUACAACGAGACUGCGGACGAGCUGGCGAAGAUAGCUUCAGCGUGAACAACGGUUCCUCCGAACAUCUUCUCCCGGGACCUACAUCAACCCUCAGUCAAGACCAACGACACGCCCGAGCCCGAGAAGGUCUUGGCCCAGCCCGAGGCGCCCUCGGCUCAGCCCGAGGCACCCUCGGCCCCCGAGGGUGAGGCACUGCGCGUCGAGGGAGAGCGGAAUGGGGUCCCGCCUGAUCGAGACUGGCAGACCCCGUACCUGCAAUAUCUCCACCGAGGAGAACUGCCCCUCGACCGAGCCGAAGCUCGGCGACUGGCGCGGCGCGCCAAGUCAUUCGUCUUGCUGGGUGACGGGAAGGAGCUCUACCACCGCAGCCCCUCCAGCAUCCUCCAGCGAUGCAUAUCCAUCGCCGAAGGCCAGGAGCUCUUACAAGAAAUACACUCGAGGGCUUGCGGUCAUCACGCAGCGCCUCGAGCCCUUGUUGGAAACGCUUUCCGACAAGGUUUCUACUGGCCGACCGCGGUGGCCGACGCCACUAGAAUUGUCCGCACCUGCCAAGGGUGUCAAUUCUAUGCAAGGCAGACGCACCUACCCGCUCAGGCUCUGCAAACAAUACCCAUCACCUGGCCGUUUGCUGUGUGGGGUCUAGACCUCGUCGGUCCCUUGCAGAAGGCACCCGGGGGCUACGCGCACCUACUGGUUGCCAUCGACAAAUUCUCCAAGUGGAUCGAGGUCUGACCCCUAAACAGCAUCAGGUCCGAACAGGCGGUGGCAUUCUUCACCAACAUCAUCCAUCGCUUCGGGGUCCCGAACUCCAUCAUCACCGACAACGGCACCCAGUUCACCGGCAGAAAGUUCCUGGACUUCUGCGAGGAUCACCACAUCCGGGUGGACUGGGUCGCCGUGGCACACCCCAUGACGAAUGGGCAGGUAGAACGUGCCAACAGCAUGAUUCUGCAAGGACUCAAGCCGAGGAUCUACAACGACCUCCACAAGUUCGGCAGGCGAUGGAUGAAGGAACUCCCCUUGGUGGUCUAGAGCCUGAGGACGACGCCAAGUCAAGCCACGGGUUUCACGCCGUUCUUUCUAGUCUAUGGAGCCGAGGCCAUCUUGCCCACAGACUUAGAAUACGGUUCCCCAAGGACGAGGGCCUACGACGACCGACGCAACCAGACCAACCGAGAAGACUCACUGGACCAGCUAGAAGAGGCUCGGGACGUGGCCUUACUACAGUCGGCGCGGUAUCAGCAGUCCCUGCGACGCUACCACGCCCGAGGGGUUCGGUCCCGAGACCUCCAGGUGGGCGACUUGGUGCUUCGGCUGCGACAAGACGCCCGAGGGCGCCACAAGCUCAUGCCUCCCUAGGAAGGGCCAUUCAUCAUCGCCAAGAUUUUGAAGCCCGGAACAUACAAGCUGGCCAACAUUCAAGGCGAGGUCUACAACAACGCUUGGAACAUCCGACAGCUACGUCGCUUCUACCCUUAAGAUGUUUUCAAGUUGUUCAUACACCUCGUUUACAUAUGAAGUCUAACCAUCAAGGAAGGGUCAGCCUUUCCUCGGCAAAGCCCGACCCUCCCUCGGGGGCUAGAAGGGGGGAACCCCCUCCGCGUCAAAAUUUUCCUCAGAAAAAGUCUUUCUGCGAGAAUAUCUUUCGUGCUUUUCGACUACUUCGGUAGUGGGAUCAUGAAAACGACGGAGUACACGUAAGCAGGCAAGGCCGACCGAGACGAGGGACUCCUACGCCUCCGGGAUACGGAUACCUCACUCAUCGCCUUCUGCGAGAAGUAACUCGCGUUCAGAUGAGCGAUCCUGCUGACCGAACAAGCCUUAACGCUCAAAAGACUUUCUGCCAAAACGGUUUUUCGGGUUUUCUCGGCUACGUCGAUAAUAGAAUCCCGCGGACAAGCAAGAGUACACGUAAGCGGCAAGGUCGACCGAGCCGAGGGAUUCCUACGCCUCCGGGAUACGGAUACCUCACUCAUCACCUUUCGUGAGAAGUAACUCUAGCUCGGAUAAACGAUUCUGCUACCGACGAGCAAGCCCUGAUACUUGAAACAAGAGGAAAAGAAAUGCAGCUUUACAACGCGACGACAGUAUGUUUGGGCCUCGGCGGCCGCAAAAAACAUAUACAUACUACAGGCGAACCGAUCCUGCAGGCUCAGACGUCGAUGGAGGGGGAGCAGCAGCACCCUCGGCAUCGACUCCACCUUCGGCGGAAUCUGACCCGGCCUCGGAUAGCAACAUGGUCAGAGGAUCUCCAACUCAAAGGAAGAUGUCAGCACCACGCUCGGGCCAUUGCCGCCAGGGUCUCCUCCAGGAACCCGGCCCAAGCAGACGGCUCGACCGGCCGCUCCGUGGCCUCAGCCAGCUGUCCCCCGAGGACAUCAGCCCGGCUCGUGGCCUCGACAACUCGACUCCGGCGUUGGUCCCGCCAGUGGACGACCCGGCCAAGCCCCGGCCGACGAAGCUCCCUUUUUCGAGCCAACUCUGCCUCUGUCCGUGCUGGCACCGCUGCCUCCGGCUCUGGCUCAUCGCAGAGCGGCCGAGGGUUCCUUUAACUAAGCAAGAGAAGCCUCGGGCGGCAAGGCCGACUGAGCCGAGGGACUCCUACGCCUCCGGGAUACGGAUACCUCACUCGUCACCUUCCGCACGAGGCAACUCACACUUGGUUAAGCGGUUCAGUUAGCCGACAGGCGAGUCCUAGUGCUCGAAAUGAGAAAAAAAUAUGGUAUUACACCAAAAAUACCUACAUGUUCAGGCCCCGACAACCACAAUGAACAAACACCGACACUCAAGGUGCCAUUACAAACGGAACUCCGGUUCCACUCCCGCAGGUACGAACAACCCCUGGUGGCACGCCGACGCCCGCUCCGGCAGCAGCGACAACGACCUCCGCUCCGAGUGGCCAAACAGCAGCAGCGAUGACCUUAGGGCGGACGCUGCUGCGACGAGCUCCUCGCCCACGUCCCCACUCGAGGGGCGAGGACAAGCUAUCAAAGCCAAAGAGCCGGAGGCCCGGAGCGCGGAUGGUGGCGGCGAUCUUGUCGGCAACGAGGACUUCUUCAGCUGCCACCACCUCAACAUCGACGACGGCAGCCAUCUGCCCACCGGCAGAUCCUCACUCGGAUCCUCCCGGACAGGCGAAGCACCGACCUCCACGCAAGAGGCGUCGUACCGGAGCAAAGGCAGGACAGCCAAAGAACACGAACGCCGCCCUAGCAGCGCGCGACGUCUUGGGCGGCCCUCCGGUGCGCGUGGUGCGGCGACCGCUCGUACGGCGGGAGGGGGCACCGGGAGCCGAGCCAGAGCCAGCUGAGCCAGCGAGCCCAACGCGCUGAAGCUGAUGACGCUCGCGGCCGACCAGCCCCGCGUUGUCGGAGUCCGCCCCUUACGCUAGGCCAGUGAGCACCCUCUCCCAUGAAUGCUGAAGGAGAGGGUGACCCAUGAACUCGUGUGGGAGGUAGAGCUCCGGCUCAGCCCGCCCUUCGCCCCAGCAAGGAUGAUGAAGAUCCUUGAAGCUGAGGGCGGGGUAGAGGCCGCGGCCCGGCUCGCUUCUCCCCACCAUCGAACUGGUGGUCACCGUCUUGGGUGACCACCGGAGAGGGGAUGCAGCCGGGCUGCCUGAUGAAAAUCCUUGAAGCCGAACGAUGGCUGAAAGGUACCAACUUCCGCGAAGUUGCAUUCCUCCAACGACAGCAAGACGAAAGCAACGCGAGCGCUCCCCAUCCGGGGGCUCGGAAGGUGGAAGGGCGCGAUGCAUGAGGAGAGUGCGAAGACAUGGUUGCCGUCCAAGGGGGUCGCUCUCCUUUUAAAGGCAACUCUCCCCACUUGCGUCCUCAGCCGUCGCGGGCUAAGUCUUCACCAACAUGCUCCAAAGUCCUCCCCCCACGACACAGGGGCUGGGUCCCACGCGUCACACAAGCUGGCCUAGGACGGAAGAGGCCAAACCUCCGCGCGCGGUACGCGUAACUGCCCAGCGGUUACAAGCGCUCCUCCACUUUCGCCCAGACCAGCGGGUGAAAGGACGGACCGCCAUGCAGGCGGCAUGCAACUGCACCAAGGGGGCACACCCUUUCGACUUCGACGCGUCCAGCAUGGAGGCCCAGGCGCACACGUCAUGUAACCGGCGCGCCGGUUACUACGUGCGAGAAACUGCACCGCCACUCGCGCCAGUACCGCGCCUUCUCGACUGCGGAACCGGUGCCACGACUCAAGGCGACCCUGCGCAUGGCCCAACAGUGCCAACCAAGCACAUCGAUCACGGGUCAGUCAGCCGCGGGAGAAGGCGCGACGAUCGAUAUGGCCAAAAGUGGGCCGGUAGUAAUGAUGGCGGCAGGCGGGUGGAAGCAGCAGUCAAAUCGCCUGAAGGCUCACGUCCCCUCCUGGGAUAGCGAGAGAGCCCUCUCUCCCACGGCAUGAAGACGACGCACCCGUGUUCCGUUCCUCGAACGGCCCACGCACGCACAACGGCUGCCCUGCCAACCACUCGUCCCAUCGCAUUAACUCUGAGGCAGGGCAGGCGACACCUUUGGCAGGCGAAGCGGGCGACGCUUCACCUCCGCCAUAAUGACCGAGUCAAAAAAGGUGCGCCACGUCGCUCAAUUUCGUAUCCUUUUCCUCUUCCCCUUUCUCUCUCUUGCUACAGGGACCGAGAAAGGGGAUACUCCGAAAGGGAUCCUUCUCCGCGAAGGAAGCGGGCCCCGAGCCCCCCUACUGAUCAGAGGUUCGAAGGCUGGCCCCUCGGAAGGGUUCAACAGCCGCCUCAGAGCACUCGGGCUCCGUGCCCACUACUGGUCAGAGGUUCGAAGGCUGGCCCCUCGGAAGGGUUCAACGGCCGCCUCAGGCCACUUGGGCUCCGCACCCACUACUGAUCAGGGGUUCGUAGGCUGGCCCCCGAAGGGUUCGACAGCCGCCUCAGAGCACGCAAAGCGAGGGAUGACUCUGGGUACGUUCGAUACACAACCAAGGCUCAGGCUAUGCUCCCAAGGUACCCUAGGACAUUUCUGAGACCAGCGGGAGCGAUUUCGUAACGGAAUCCCAUCAGAGGGAGGCAUCGAGCCCUCGGACCCUAUCAAACGGGAUUGGGUCCGGCAAAUCACCUGCAGGUACUUUUGGAGCACGCCUCUGGGCCACUAGCCGACCCUUAUCGAACGGGGCACGGGCGUCCACUCGGAUCACCCGCUAGCAACUCACUGGAGACACCAUGUUCGGCGCCCUCCGAGGGCAACAUGGCGCUUUCCCCCCUCCUCCUUGCGGAAAGGCGACACAGGGGCGUAUGAAAAAAGCUGAGUCUGUCCUUGAUUGUCCUCUCGCUCUGUGCGGAGGCUCGAGGGCUGCUCUCGCAAACCCGGCUCCGGCCAAACCGUUGACAGCGUCAACAUACCAGCCCGAGAACUUGGGACUCGACUAUGCACCCGGGCUAUGGCCAGUUCGCAUGAGGGAACAACCAGACCGGCCGAAGCAUCACGAAACGCGCUAAGACCUUGAAGGAGUCAGACCACUCCUCCGAGGCCUCGGGGGCUACACCCUGCGGGUGCGCUCGCGCGCACCCACCAGAACAAAACGCAACCGAGAAAGGCCGGUCCCCUUGCAAAAACAUGCGACAAAAGCCUCCAAGCGAGUGUCAACACUCCCUUCGAGGCUCGGGGGCUACUGUCGGGGACCAUAAUUAGGGGUACCCCCAAGACUCCUAAUCUCAGCUGGUAACCCCCAUCAGCACAAAGCUGCAAAGGCCUGAUGGGCGCGAUUAAGGUCAAGGCUCAGUCCACUCAAGGGACACGAUCUCGCCUCGCCCGAGCCCAGCCUCGGGCAAAGGCAGCCGACCCCGGAGGAUUCACGUCUCGCCCGAGGGCCCCCUCAAGCAACGGACACACCUUCGGCUCGCCCGAGGCCCAGUCUUCGCAGAGAAGCAACCUUGGCCAGAUCGCCACGCCAACCGACCAUAUCGUUGGAGCAUUUAAUGCAAGGAUCGCCUGACACCUUAUCCUGACGCGCGCUCUUCAGUCGACAGAGCCGAAGUGACCGCAGUCACUUCGCCGCUCCACUGGCCGACCUGACAAGAAAACAGCGUCGCCUGCCCCGCUCCGACUGUCGUGCCACUCGCCAGAGUGAGGUCGACAGUGGCUAAGUCUAGCCUCGGGCGACAUAGGAAGCUCCGCCUCGCCCGACCCCAGGGUUCGGCCCCCGUCUCGGCCUCGGAAGAUGGAUUUCGCCUCGCCCGACCCCAGGGCUCGGACUCAACCACGACUUAGAAGACGACGAACUCCGCCUCGCCCGACCCCAGGGCUCGGACUCAGCCUCGGCUCUGGAAGACGAUGGACUCCGCCUCGCCCGACCCCAGGGCUCGGACACAACCUCGACCUCGGAGGAAUCGCCACCUCGCCCAAACUCGGGUCCGGACCGGCCACGUCGCCAGGGGGGCCAUCAUUACCCUGCCCCUAGCUAGCUCAGGCUACGGGGAACAAGAUCGGUGUCCCAUCUGGCUCGCCCCAGUAAACAAGUAAUGAUGACACCCCGCACGCUCCAUGACGACGGCAGCUCCCAGCCCCUUAUGUCAGCAAGGAUCCGACAGCCCCGACAGCUGUACUUCCGCAGGGCUCCAGCGCUCCUCCGACGGCCACGACAUCACAUGAACAGGGUGCCAAAACCUCUCCGACUGCCACGACGGCAUGUACUUAGGGCUCUAGCUCCUCUCUGCUAGACACAUUAGCACACUGCUACACCCCCCAUUGUACACCUGGACCCUCUCCUUACGCCUAUAAAAGGAAGGUCUAGGGCUCUCGUACGAGAAGGUUGGCCACGCGGGAGAACGGGCCGACGCAUAAGGCUCUCGCUCUCUCUCUCUCCCACGCGAACGCUUGUAACCCCCUACUGCAAGCGCAUCCAUCCGCCCUGGGCACAGGACAACAUGAAGGCCAUGGUUUCCCCUUACUGUUCUCCCCCCUUUGUGUCCCGUCUCGCGCCGACCCAUCUGGGCUGGGACACGCAGCGACAAUUUACUCGUCGGUCCAGGGACCCCCUGGGGUCGAAACGCCGACACAUAUGCUAUGCAAUUUGCUAGUGAUAGGAUAAACCAAACUGCACUGUACUGAUCACAUGGGAUGACACAUGCUAAAAUCAAUAUAACAGUAACUUGCUCGGACCAAUAAUGCCUAACCACUAGAAAUGUUGUUUGUACAUGAUGUCAGUUGAAUGGCCGUACAAGAAAGUAAUAGUCUAUAUCUUAUCUUGUUUAUGUUUAGAUUUAUAUGAGCCAUCAACUUAAUGAUGAUUAACCUUGAUUGCAUCAGCUGAAGUUGGUGCAUAAUAAUUUGAUGUACUUUUUUCUAGGAUGUUCUGGACAAAGAAAGCUUGUACCUUAAAAUAGGAGGAUACAAGAAGCUGGAGUGGUUGUCUGAAGGCUUUUGAACUGCUUGAAGCAUUAGUGUAGCUCUGGAGCUUUUGUGAAUGAUCUAGCUAGCUAUCUGUAAAUGAUUUAGUUGUGAAUGAUAUUAUAAUUGUGAUGCUUUUGCGAAUAUAUAAUUGUGGUGCUUUUGUGUUUAUGUGAUGGAUCUAUGACUGUGGUAUACUGAUUAACUGUGUAUGUCUUUAUGAUUUGUGUAUAAAAAUCUGUGAUUUGUGGUGCUUAAUUAAAUGUAUAUUAUUAUUAAUAACAACUGUAAAAAGGGCGACUUUCUGUUGGUUGCUAAAUGUAUAGUAUGACGACAUACGGUUGGUUGCUAAAUCUAUAGUACAACAACCCACGAUUGGUCGCUAAAUAUACAAUAUUAGCAACAGACGGUCGGUCGCUAAAAAGAUGUCGGUCGCUAAAACUUUUAGCGACGACACUUACAACGACCAUCAUUAUGGGUGGCUAAAAGUUUUUAGCGACCAACCGUAGGUCGCUGAAGGCCGUUUUAGCAACCAAUCGUAGGUCGAUGUAAGUGAACCGUCGUGUAGUGAUUGUCACAGUGUCAUCUGUGUAUUGAAUAUGAAAAAUCCCCUUAGAAAAAUAUCAGAUAAAACCUCAGUAAUGUGCCCUUUCUCAACUCCUGAGUCCAACAUCACACUCAAAGCAUGUGCCACAAGGUUAAAAAAAAGGGGCGACAACAGAUCCCUAUGUCUUAGACCUCUGAAGGUCUUGAAGCCACUCCUUUCCCGUUAACAUUUAAACACACCUUUCCAUUUUCCACAGUACUCAUCACCCAGUCACACCACCUAUCAGGAAUCUUUUUGGUUUUCAUAACCUCAACUAAAAACUCCAAUCGAACCUUAUCGUAGGACUUUUCAAAAUCAAAUUUUAAAAUCAACCCUUUCUUUUUUGCCUUUAGUUCAUGCAGGAUCUCAUGUAAAAUAAUGACUCCUGAGAUAUUCCUAUCUUUCACCAAGCCGGACUGAAUAUUUCCAAUGGCUUCCUUGGUAACCAAAGAAAAUCUAUUAGUGAGCAUUUUAGUGAAGAUCUUAAAAUCCACAUUAAGAAGGCAAAUCGAGCGGAAUUGCUUGAUAGUGAAGGCUUCCUUAAUCUUAGGGACCAAAGUGAUCACCCAAUAAUUCAAUCUCUGAAUAUCCAGAUUCCCUUCAAACAAUCCACGAACAUUCUCAUUAAGUCAUCCUUGACUAAAGGCCGAAAUUCCUUAAAGAAGGAGGCCGCAAACCCAUUUGGGUUAGCAAAUCUAAUCUAAUUACUAUAUAAUAGAUCCGAGAGUAAAACUAGGCUCCGCGUGAGCAGGCCAGUUUGGGCCAAUUUCUAUCUAAGAACAUCGUCAAGUAGGGCUGGGAAAAAAUUGUAACCCGAUACCCAAACCGAAAAUACCCGAACCCAAACCCGAAAUAGUCGAAACCUGAUUUUUUAGGAAUUUGGGUGGCAACUUAUAAAACCCGAGCUUAUUUCGGGUAAUUCAGGUACCAUCCUUUGGUACCCAAAAUACUCAAACUCCCAAGAUUUAUGUCAUUGUUAAUUGUCAAUUUAUGUAUCUAUAGUUAUGUGUAAGUCUGUACAACAAUAUUGAGUUGGGAACUUGAGAUUUUAGGCUGCAUGUGUUUUUAUAUGCAUAUAUAUAUAUACCAUACAUUUUUAUGCUGAUUUGGUAGGGUGUAUGUGUUUUUAUGAAGAUGACACAACACUUCGGGUAGUUCGAGAAUACCCAAACUUGGACCCAAAAUUUCGGGUAAUAUAAAAUUUGUUGCAACUUCGGGUAACGAUUCUCAAAACCCCAUUGUUAUCUUAAACGACUGUUUAGAUCGUUUAAACGACGUUUAAAUGCUACUCGGCACCUAACCGUUUAGGUCGUUUAUCCAUUUAAUCCCAUCCAUUUUUAGUCUGUUUAAACGCCCGUGUAGUCCGAUUAAACGCUAAAUAGAGGAUGAAUGUUUACCGUUUAGUGUUUCGGAUAACACUACAAAACCUAAAUUUUGAAUUACCCAAACAAAGUUUUCGGGUAACCUGAACGUCCACCCCUAGGGUCAAGCAGUGCACUCAGCUUUAUUGUUUUAUUUUCUAUAUUUUCAUAAGAAAAAAUAAUUAUGAAAAUUCUUGUAUAAUUUGUAGUGCAUUGUUUAGAAAAGUUGAAAAUUCUUGUAUAAUUCUUGUAUAAUUUGAUGCUUGCUAAGAAAAGUUGAAUCAAAGUUCAAUAAGUUUUAAGUUCAAAUUUAAGAAUUUUGGUUAAGUUUUUCGGUGCGUAUAAUUGUUUAUUCUAUGUUAAAAUGAAACCAAUGUGGAAGUUUAAUUGAAGAAUAUUAUACAUAUUGAUGCUAAAUUAUUUAAAGGUUAUUCAGAUCUAAUUUUGCCCAAAGGUGUUUUAAAAUUGGAAUAAUUUAAUGUAGUAUUGUGCACAUUUAAUUUAAACAAACAUUAAAUUUUACAUAAACACUUGUUUAAAGUUUGUUAUUUUAUGAAUCAUCACCAAAUAAGAUCGUCAAUUUGUAUACUAGAGCCACUAAAUGGCUCAAAUUAUUCCUCUUGGAGGUAGAAGAUAUACAUGACAUUAGCUUUAGCAGACAUGGACUAUAUUAUUAAGAAUCCUAGGCCUAUUACCCAUAUAAGCAACAGAAGGAAUGUCCAAGCCAGUUAAUAAUGCUACGCUCAUGAGGGCAUAUGAUCUCAAAUGCGUAAAGUGAGAAUGCUGCUCGAGACCGGCACUGCUGGAGUGUGGCAAUGCCGGUUUUGUACAACCCCAAACGACUAGUUUGACAUCCAACGACUAUUUUAGGUUAAGGGAUAUAUAUACCAAUCCCAUGUCCCUUGGGGUUUUAUUGGCGUCCAAACACUUUAAAACUUAUCCUAAGAUAUUUGUGAGCACUCUUUAACAGUGGCGGACCUAGGGUUUUUGUAUACGGUGUGCCACAACAUAAAAUUUUAUGUAGAAUUCUAUUUAAUCUAUAUAUACCAGCUUUAAAAUUCUAUCUAAUGUAAAAUCAACAAUAAAAAAUAGAUAUACCUAUGUUGGAGGGGAGGCGAUGCUUGCUGUUGGUUGUUGCUGAACGAAAGAAGUACAUGAUGAGGCGCAUCAUGUGUGAUUCGCGGGUCGACUGGAGGCCGGGAGGCGGGAGCUCUAGCGUGAAGCUGCACAGGGCUGCCCUGGCUGGGCACGUGGCGGGUGGCGGCGUGUCUUGACGGCCGACGGCGGCACAACGCGUCUCGACAUCUACCGGCUCGGCGGCGGCAGAUGGCGCUUGGGACAGGAGCGGGCGAGCGGCAUGCCAUAGCGCGAGACGGCGUCGCGAUCGUCCUCGUCGAUUCGCCUGGUGCCGAUGCCCUAUCUCCUACUCGUGUAGCAUUAAGGAAGAUGAACUAUCAAGCAAAAUGCCAAAGCUGUAUGAUCCUCUCUCUCUCAUUCGUUCUAUGCGUGGAUAGUGGAAACAGAAGACGAAGCGAACACAAAACACAUGAUCGUGAACAGUCUAAUGGGGCUAGGUAUGCUCUUGGUGG
rnacentral:lncRNA from 1 species